AUGUGCCGUGUAGCAGGGCACUGGCUGCAUGUACAGCUCUGACACAGGAAGGGGCAGCCCUGGCUACUGGGUCCAGUCUCUUUGUAUGGUAGGACUUUGGGGUCCUUCAGGGUCACAGUGACUGGUGGGACAUUGAGGCAUCCGAUAUCCUGGGGUCCUCUGGCCCAGAGAGUAUCGGUGAUGAGGUGCAAAAUGGUUUGCAGCGAAUCCCCUUGCUCAUAUGAAUCAGUGCAGAAUUUUAUUGUCAGACAUCCGGCAGCUGUGGGUGUCACAUAAUUUGAG